UCGUCAAAUUUGCCCGGCACGGGGACUCU
rnacentral:sRNA from 1 species